GACAGAGGCCCCACCUCCGCACGCACGCCUGUAGCUCGGGUUCCGGUUCCUCCUGGGCUUGCUGCCUCCACCUGCAGCGGUCUCCUCCCGGUGAAUUCUGAAGCCUCUGCCGUCGAGGACACCCUGCCCCACGCCCUCUGCCGGGAUCCAGAACCUCAGCUGGGCCGGCUGUCCAGCCCGGCCUCGACCCUCCUGCCAUUUUCAGAUGCUGCUCCGAGACUCGUGUUUCCCAGCCUCCUCUGCCACCCAGACCUCCGGUGACAGGCCAGCCUUCUUCCGACAGAGAGGGUCGUCCCCGAGCCGAGCCGUGCUCCCUGCAUCCCCGGCUGGAGAUUCUCCACCUUCGCUGAGAACCAGUGACGCACACAUCCUACCAGGGCGGGGGACGCGGGCCUGGUCCCCGCAGCCAGCCUCGCGCCCGCAGGUUGUUCUCAGGCGACUGCUGUCGGUGGGCCGUUUUUUUGUUCAGUGCCUUUCUCCACUUCGUUGAAUCGAGGGAGGCGUUAUGAAGAGGCUUCGCUUGUCUAUUUGAGCUACUGCAGUCAGGGUCACACAGCGAAUGUCACCCUGAAAGGGUCCCUGAAGACAUCCGGCCCGAUUUCUGCAUCCUCCAGAGACAGAAGAGCCUGGCAGAGCUCAGCAUUUGCCCCAGGGCACAGGCUGGUCAGCCUGAAGGUGUGAACAAAAACCCAGCUUUCGGCGCCAUCCUGCCAUCCAGUGGCAUGUCUCAAUGAGGAUAUAAAGGCCAAAGUGAAAAUACUUGGAGAACAUUCUCUGCCAACAAGUGGCCUGUAUUUGCAAUUCAAAGGCAGGCAAGUCACUCAGAUAAACCAAUGAAAUUCCUUCUUUAUAAAUAAAUUACAGUCUCAGCUUACUCGAGGAAAAUAAAAACAUCUUCUUCAUUUCAUCCAUGAUCGGCCCAGAGAGAAACGGUGAAGAGCAGAGAAUGACUGGAUUCAGGGAAAAACAUAACAUAAAUGAAAGAGGCACAUGUGUGUGACUGUGUGUGCACCUGUGUGUGUGUCUGUGCCUGUGUGUGUCUAUGUGUGUGUCUGAGUGUGUGUCUGUGUCCAGGUGAGUGUAAGCCUGCAUGUGUGUCUACGUCUGUGUGUCUAUGUGACGUCUGUGUGGAUGUACAUGGAGGUCUGUGUGUCUGUGCCUGUGUCUCUGAGUGUGUCUGUGUGUCUAUGUACGUGUCUGAGUGUAUGUACGUGUGAAUGUCUGUCUCUGUGUGUCUCUGUGUGUGUCUGUAUGUGUGGAUGUAUACGUAUAUGUGUGUGUCUGCGUAGGAGUGAGCACGUGUGUGUUUGCACGAGACAUAUGAAAGAAAGGACUUCUCCCGCUGACACACUGUCCUCUCAGACUGGACCGGUCACUCCUGACCUCCACUUUGCUCAGCGGGACAAGUGAGGCUCAGUGGACAAGAAGCAGCUUUGGAUGAAGGGGGUGGGGGCCAGAAGGGAAGAGUCUCAAACACCUAGUUAAAGAGAAAACACCCGCCCCAUGGCUCAGCUGCCAUAGAUUUCCAAGAGUUCACCCCACGUUCCCACUUAGUCUCUAACCCUCCGUGUGCCCACCAGCACCCUCCAUUCCGAGAGGAGCAAGCAGACACCAGGAGGCCACAAAGAGCACAGCUGCCGCUCCCAGGCUGGAGAAGGGGCCCGGCUCUCUGCUCCACGUGCUCACAGAGCUCCACCGAGCCAUCCGAUCACGAUGCAUAAUUAAUAGCGGGAAAUGCAGGACCCCGCUCUCUGUCAUCUCCGAUUCCCAGAGGGCUCAGUAAUGAACUUCCGCUUCCAAC
ensembl:lncRNA